UACGAAGGGGGCUAGCGUUGCUCGGAAUUACUGGGCGUAAAGGGCGCGUAGGCGGAUAUUUAAGUCAGGGGUGAAAGCCCGGGGCUCAACCUCGGAAUUGCCUUUGAUACUGGAUAUCUUGAGUUCGGGAGAGGUGAGUGGAAUGCCGAGUGUAGAGGUGAAAUUCGUAGAUAUUCGGCGGAACACCAGUGGCGAAGGCGACUCACUGGCCCGAUACUGACGCUGAGGCGCGAAAGCGUGGGGAGCGAACAGG
rnacentral:rRNA from 1 species